GUGGGGAAUUUUGGACAAUGGGGGCAACCCUGAUCCAGCCAUUCCGCGUGAGUGAAGAAGGCCUUCGGGUUGUAAAGCUCUUUCAGCCGGAACGAAACGGUACGCUCUAACAUAGCGUGCUAAUGACGGUACCGGCAGAAGAAGCACCGGCUAACUACGUGCCAGCAGCCGCGGUAAUACGUAGGGUGCGAGCGUUAAUCGGAAUUACUGGGCGUAAAGCGUGCGCAGGCGGAUUGUUAAGCAAGAUGUGAAAUCCCCGGGCUUAACCUGGGAAUGGCAUUUUGAACUGACAGUCUAGAGUGUGUCAGAGGGGGGUGGAAUUCCACGUGUAGCAGUGAAAUGCGUAGAUAUGUGGAGGAACACCAAUGGCGAAGGCAGCCCCCUGGGAUAACACUGACGCUCAUGUACGAAAGCGUGGGUAGCAAACAGGAUUAGAAACCCGAGUAGUCC
rnacentral:rRNA from 1 species